rnacentral:rRNA from 1 species
AACGAACGCUGGCGGCGUGCCUAACACAUGCAAGUCGUGCGAGAAAGUUCCUUCGGGAGCGAGUAAAGCGGCGCACGGGUGAGUAACACGUAGGUAACCUGCCCCCCAGUCUGGAACAACUAGAGGAAACUCUAGCUAAUGCCGGAUGAGACCACGAUCCCUUCGGGGGUUGCGGCCAAAGAUGGCCUCUACUUGUAAGCUAUCGCUGAGGGAUGGGCCUGCGGGCCAUUAGCUUGUUGGUGAGGUAACGGCUCACCAAGGCUGUGAUGGCUAGCUGGUCUGAGAGGAUGACCAGCCACACUGGGACUGAGACACGGCCCAGACUCCUACGGGAGGCAGCAGUGGGAAUUUUGGACAAUGGGGGCAACCCUGAUCCAGCAAUGCCGCGUGAGUGAAGAAGGCCUUCGGGUUGUAAAGCUCUUUUGUCUAGGGAAGAAAAGGUCGUAGGCUAAUAUCCACGACUGCUGACGGUACCUG